rnacentral:lncRNA from 1 species
UAAACAUCAUCAUACCAUCGUAGAAUUAAGCAUCAUACAAUUAUUAACGUUUUUUAUAAGCUCGUUUGGAAGAAGACCACAACGUCUCUUUUCUCAGAUCUUUUGGAGCUUUUGUGUCCACAAACGGCUGCAAAAAAAAAGAGCAAAUUCAAAAAGAGCACCGAUAAUUCAUAUGUUAUUAAAUACUUAAAACGUGGAGGCCAAGGUGGGAUGUCUCAUUCAACUAUACUCAGACCGGCCUUGAACACCAGUCUCAGCCUAAAGCACAGUUUGUUUUGCCAUUGGGUUUCAACGAUGUCAAUUCCAGCUAGAAAAGUGUUUUGAUUAGUUCAUUAAUCCAUUAGCCUAAUGCUUUGAUUCGUGCUUUAGUGUCCCCUACACAAUGAAUGCAGAUUGUGAAAUAACUAGAUCAUAUUCAUGAAUCUUUCAUUUGAAACUAAGAAUCAGAAUGGAUGUUUAGAUCAAUUAAUUGAAUCUCUAAUCUCUCAAUUAGAGGAUAUAAGCUAGGAAGUAGAAAGCUAACCCUAGAAACUGAUUUGAUGUUGCAGAAGAAAGGUGGGGGAGAUUAGAGAAUUACUUCGACUAGGAUCGAAUUUUGCCGGUGGAGUAGCAUUUCUUGCGGCGGAUCUUCGGGAUUGAUUUAAGAUUCCGGCGGAGAAGGAAGAGUAUGGUCCGGAGAAGUUCACUUCUCUUCUUCCGCCAUUGAUGGAAUUUCAGGUUUCUUUUCCACACAACUGCUGAUCACUUACCAUUCGUUUUUUCCUUUCUUCUAGACACCGUUU